rnacentral:rRNA from 1 species
UACGGACGGGGCAAGCGUUGUUCGGAAUCAUUGGGCGUAAAGGGCGCGUAGGUGGUUCUGUAUGUCUACCGUGAAAGCGUACGGCUCAACCGUAUUUUGUCGGUAGAAACUGCAGGACUUGAGGCUGGGAGGGGCUGGUGGAAUUCCCUGUGUAGCGGUGAAAUGCGUAGAUAUCGGGAGGAACACCAGUGGCGAAGGCGACUACCUGGCCCAUUCUUGACGCUGAGGCGCGAAAGCUAGGGGAGCGAACGGG